rnacentral:rRNA from 1 species
AUGAAGGAGCUCCAGGUGAAGGUUAAAGAGGUCAACGAGCGAAACUUGCGGUACCACCUACUCAACGGCGCCUCUGGCUCCAAUCCUACCUCUGCCGCCACUGAGCUGUCCAGCGAUGCCACUACGAUGAUGUUUGGCAUGAGGCUCAAGAUGACAGCUCUGCUCGAACUCAUCAACAACAAGGAUGAUGACCUCAGCGUGAUCUCGGUGUGGGGAACAGGCAGUGAUAUCGGGCUGACUUCCUUUGUGAGAGCAUCCUACGAGAAUUCGGGUCUCAAAAUGAAGUUCCCAUGCCGAGCUUGGGUCAGGGUGAUGCAUCCAUUCAGUCCAACGGAGUUUACUGAAGCAGUUCCGCGCUGCCGUCUUGGGUGUUGA